rnacentral:rRNA from 1 species
GAUGAACGCUGACAGAAUGCUUAACACAUGCAAGUCUUUGGCGAAGCUGUGCUCGCACAGCCUAGCCAAGGCGGACGGGUGAGUAACGCGUAAGGAACUUGCCCUGCAGUCAGGGAUAACAGACGGAAACGACUGAUAAGACCUGGUAAAGUCAGGCGGACUCAUGUCCAGCCUGAUGAAAAGAGAUGCUGCAGGAGAGCCUUGCGUCCUAUUAGCUUGUUGGUGGGGUAACGGCCCACCAAGGCGAUGAUAGGUAGCCGGCCUGAGAGGGUGGACGGCCACAAGGGGACUGAGAUACGGCCCUUACUCCUACGGGAGGCAGCAGUGGGGAAUAUUGGACAAUGGGGGCAACCCUGAUCCAGCAAUUCUGUGUGGACGAUGAAGGUUUUCGGAUUGUAAAGUGCUUUCAGCAGGGAAGAAAAAAAUGACGGUACCUGCAGAAGAAGCGACGGCUAAAUACGUG